CAUCCCUCCAUCCGCCCGUUCGUCCGUCUGUCUAGUCUCGAGUGUGUCAUUGCAAAGCUCUAGCUGGUGGACUGGUCGAUAUUGGUGUUUGCUUGUUGAUGCUACGCUCUCUCUCUUAUCUAAUUGUUAGACGAAACAAUUGACGGAAACUUUUCGCUACAUACAACGAUUCUUUUAUACAUUACAUUACAUAUAUUUAUACUAUACCUGCAUAAAUGAUCUAGUCCUGCAGGGAAAAGAUGCAGAAUGCCCCCUUUCUAAUUAUAAAUUCCUUUUUUUUCCCCUAAAGAUUAUGAAACCGAUUGCUCCGUAGUAGUGAUUUAAAUUUUAAGAAAUUAAAUCGAUUACAAAAUUCAAUAACUACUAUAGAUUGGUACAAGUUAACUUGUACAAAUGGAUUUUACUUUAACAAAAUUUCCAUUUGAGAUUUAAUGAAGAUGCAGUGUACAAUAGAUUGAAAAAUUGCUAUAAAUAACGAUUUUUCUAAAUAUUGUUGAAAAAAUGUAAUAAAUAUACUACGAAUUGGCGGCACAGAAUCUAUAAGCUAAAAAGACAAUUUCAAUGUUUCACGAUCGCGCGUUACAGCCACACGCGCGCUUCUUACGCGCUUAAAUUCAGGUCUUCGUCAAUUACCUUGUCAGCUUUCUCAAAUUACGCCUUGCUUUUAGGUCUUUGCAUUUGUUUCUCGUGCACUUUCUUGCAACUUCAAUUCUCUCUCUUUCUAAUACUUGAAUAGACAUAAAAAUUUACAUAUUAAAUGAAUCAUAAAAUUUUAUUUAUUUUUUUUAUCAUGUUAGUAAGAGAAAAGAUAAAUAUUGUGUAACGUAUAUCGUCCACCCUUACGAAUGUACAUAAUUAAACCUUGUUGAAAUGUAUCGAACAUAUGGUGAACAGCAUUGUUAAAGAGAGAGAAGUUAAGAAUGGCUGUGAGAUUUGACUAGAUUACCUCCAGGAUUGAAUUGGAUUAGUUUUAGAUAAUGAUGGAUAUUGGAUUAUCAAAAUCAAUCUCUAUUCACUCUUGUCCACGUCACCGCGCUGCGGUUAACAAUCACGCUGCGACCAUAAGGCAUAGAUACAAUAAAAUGAGCUAGCGGCGAUUUUAUCACUGUA